AUGAACGCUGGCGGCGUGCCUAAUCCAUGCAAGUCGAGCGAACAGACGAGGAGCUUGCUCCUCUGACGUUAGCGGCGGACGGGUGAGUAACACGUGGAUAACCUACCUAUAAGACUGGGAUAACUUCGGGAAACCGGAGCUAAUACCGGAUAAUAUAUUGAACCGCAUGGUUCAAUAGUGAAAGACGGUUUUGCUGUCACUUAUAGAUGGAUCCGCGCCGCAUUAGCUAGUUGGUAAGGUAACGGCUUACCAAGGCAACGAUGCGUAGCCGACCUGAGAGGGUGAUCGGCCACACUGGAACUGAGACACGGUCCAGACUCCUACGGGAGGCAGCAGUAGGGAAUCUUCCGCAAUGGGCGAAAGCCUGACGGAGCAACGCCGCGUGAGUGAUGAAGGUCUUCGGAUCGUAAAACUCUGUUAUUAGGGAAGAACAAAUGUGUAAGUAACUAUGCACGUCUUGACGGUACCUAAUCAGAAAGUCACGGCUAACUACGUG
rnacentral:rRNA from 1 species